AACAUCGUGCUAGAGAUUAUAGGUUACCUUGAUGUGGUAUAGUACGGGUUAUUUUGGCCCCGAUGUUU
rnacentral:tRNA from 1 species